AAAUAAAUUAGCAAAUAUUGCAUUUUGAUUUCGGCUCAAAAAGAGGCGCCAGCCAUUUUUUUU
rnacentral:tRNA from 1 species